GAUAACUGGCUUGUGGUUGUUAUCCUCUUGCUGCUUUUUGGUCCUUCGAUGUCAGCUCUUCCUAUUGUUGUGGAAGAGAAUUCAGCAAGCGUUGGAUUGCUCACCCACUAACAGGGAACGUGAGCUGGGAUCAGACCGCUGCGAGACAGGUU
rnacentral:ncRNA from 1 species